GACGAACGCUGGCGGCGUGCUUAACACAUGCAAGUCGAACGGAAAGGCCCUGCUUUUGUGGGGUGCUCGAGUGGCGAACGGGUGAGUAACACGUGAGUAACCUGCCCUUGACUUUGGGAUAACUUCAGGAAACUGGGGCUAAUACCGGAUAGGAGCUCCUGCUGCAUGGGGGGGGUUGGAAAGUUUCGGCGGUUGGGGAUGGACUCGCGGCUUAUCAGCUUGUUGGUGUGGUAGUGGCUUACCAAGGCUUUGACGGGUAGCCGGCCUGAGAGGGUGACCGGCCACAUUGGGACUGAGAUACGGACCAGACUCGUACGGGAGGCAGCAGUGGGGAAUAUUGCACAAUGGGCGCAAGCCUGAUGCAGCAACGCCGCGUGCGGGAUGACGGCCUUCGGGUUGUAAACCGAUUUCGCCUGUGACGAAGCGUGAGUGACGGUACUGGGUAAAGAAGCACCGGCUAACUACGUG
rnacentral:rRNA from 1 species